rnacentral:rRNA from 1 species
GACGAACGCUGGCGGCGUGCUUAACACAUGCAAGUCGAACGGAAAGGCCCUGCUUUUGUGGGGUGCUCGAGUGGCGAACGGGUGAGUAACACGUGAGUAACCUGCCCUUGACUUUGGGAUAACUUCAGGAAACUGGGGCUAAUACCGGAUAGGAGCUCCUGCUGCAUGGUGGGGGUUGGAAAGUUUCGGCGGUUGGGGAUGGACUCGCGGCUUAUCAGCUUGUUGGUGGGGUAGUGGCUUACCAAGGCUUUGACGGGUAGCCCGCCUGAGAGGGUGACCGGGCACCUUGGGACUGAGAGACGGCCCAGAAUGCUACGGGAGGCAACAGUGGGGAAUAUUGCACAACGGGCGGAAGCCUGAGGCAGCAACGCCGCGUGCGGGAUGACGGCCUUCGGGUUGUAAACCGCUUUCGCCUGUGACGAAGAGUGAGUGACGGUAAUGGGUAAAGAAGCACCGGCUAACUACGUG